UACGGAGGGUGCAAGCGUUAUCCGGAAUUACUGGGUUUAAAGGGUGCGUAGGCGGCUUGAUAAGUCAGAGGUGAAAGCCUAUCGCUUAACGAUAGAAUUGCCUUUGAUACUGUAAAGCUUGAAAGGGGUUGAGGUCAGCAGAAUGUGGAAUGUAGCGGUGAAAUGCAUAGAUAUGCCAGAGAACACCGAUUGCGAAGGCAGCUGGCUGGGCCUACUUUGACGAUGAGGCACGAAAGCGUGGGGAGCGAACAGG
rnacentral:rRNA from 1 species